rnacentral:RNase_P_RNA from 1 species
AGAAGAGAGCGGGCUUUUGUUAGCGAAUAAAGGUGCGGGGAGGAAAGUCCGGGCAGCACAAGAGCAUAGCAGUUGUUAACGGCAACCGAAGGAAACUUUAGGGAAAGUGCCACAGAAACGACACAACCAGCGCCCGAAAUUCGGACGCUCGGAACUGGUGAAAUGAGUGAGGUAAAAGCUCACAGUUCUGCACGGUGACGUGCAUGAAGAGGUAAACCCUGCUUGCUGCAAGGUAGUACGGCCUAGAAGGUGCUCGCCAUGGUCGUACGUAAAAUAAUCCGCUCGAGCCUAAGAGCAAUUUUAGGCCUAGAUAGAUGAUCGACUAAAACAGAACCCGGCUUACGGAUUGCCCCACAAU